AAUGACCUUGCUUCACAAUUUUGCAGCACGGCAUGCUGCUCCCCAACAUUCAUCUGACUCGGAGGCAAGUCUGUUAACCAUGAUGUCAGCAGGAAUUAUUUUGACAGCUGCCAGAAGCAGUAGCAUAAGACUCAAAAGUUUUCAUUUUAGAAUGUGGUGUUCUAGAAUGUUGGUCUGAUGUAUACAUGCUAAUGGACAAUCAAAGACAGUAGCACAGUGUUCAAGAGAAGAACCCACAAGGAAAAGCGAUCACAUCAAUCAAUUAAACAAAACACCAGUUUUUUCAGGGAACGUUGGGAGGUGGAUGUUAUUGUCCCUUAUGUUGCAUCGAGGCAGAUGACAUAGUCCUAGGGAUAAGAUGAGCUGCUUACAUUUGAAGUUAAAAUCAUACUUCUACCAACUUUGGUGUGUGAAAAACGGCACAGCAUUGGCACACUAUUGACUCCUGAAGUUUUCUCUGUGUGUUACUUGGUGUCCGUGUCCCCAGCUCUGCAGUAAAAGUCUAAAGAAAAUGGAAUCCUUUUCUCUUUAAACUGUAAUGAGCAACAAUAGUCCAAGGACCAUACAGAAAGUGUCACACUCAGAUGAGCAGUACUGAGUGUAGAAUAAGAUCGCUAACUGGCCAUUGAUGACAUGUCCUGUUUCCUGGUAUCCAGGAGACUGAAAAUCACUUGGUUUUCUUUAUCUAGGCCACAG
rnacentral:lncRNA from 1 species